GAUGAACGCUGGCGGCGUGCCUAAUACAUGCAAGUCGAGCGAAUGGAUUAAGAGCUUGCUCUUAUGAAGUUAGCGGCGGACGGGUGAGUAACACGUGGGUAACCUGCCCAUAAGACUGGGAUAACUCCGGGAAACCGGGGCUAAUACCGGAUAACAUUUUGAACCGCAUGGUUCGAAAUUGAAAGGCGGCUUCGGCUGUCACUUAUGGAUGGACCCGCGUCGCAUUAGCUAGUUGGUGAGGUAACGGCUCACCAAGGCAACGAUGCGUAGCCGCCCUGAGAGGGUGAUCGGCCACACUGGGGCUGAGACACGGCCCAGACGCCUACGGGAGGCAGCAGUAGGGAAUCGUCCGCAAUGGACGAAAGUCUGACGGAGCAACGCCGCGUGAGUGAUGAAGGCUUUCGGGUCGUAAAACUCUGUUGUUAGGGAAGAACAAGUGCUAGUUGAAUAAGCUGGCACCUUGACGGUACCUAACCAGAAAGCCACGGCUAACUACGUGCCAGCCGCCGCCGUAA
rnacentral:rRNA from 1 species